rnacentral:sRNA from 1 species
GUAUAGCCCUGAUAGUAAUGAAAAGCUUUUUGAAGUGGAAAGCCUAUUUUUGCAGUGCUAAAAAAGCGACCCAAAGAAGCUCUUUUUAGUGCUAGCAAAAUUAGCUUGACACAAAAAAACUUGUAAUGAAUAGCAGGAUUAGCU